GGGAUAAGCACGGUGGUGCGACCGGCAAGUCAUUGAUUGUUCUCAACCCGUAGCUGACUCUUAAUCAGCGGGUCCCAGGUUCGAGCCCUGGUGCGCCCACCA
rnacentral:tRNA from 1 species